rnacentral:piRNA from 1 species
UGUCGGAAAAUGCUUCCCAGAUUUCACCUC